AAUGGAAGGAGCGCUCCUAGGACAGGCUGCCUGGCACAGUUCCCUUCUCUUCCUGCUUUGAGAAAGUUCCUGAUCUUUGAAAGUGCAGUAACUAUAUUUCCACAGGAAAGGCCAAGAGAAGCACGGAGAUGCCAGCCGUGGCAGUGCUGAGCACCAGCCCCCACCCCCUUGCAGGUGGUUCAAAUGGGUAGCCGCUGACCGGGAAGAAGUUCAGGGCUGGCAGUCCACUGAGACGGGCCCUGACAGGGACUACGGCUGAAGAGGAACCCAGCCCAGGUGCUCCCUCAGGGAAGUGCUCCCCGCCUCCAGCCUCAGGCCUUGUUCUUGAUCCUCUUGACAGGCAGAGGUGAGGAAGGCUGACCCAGCAGGGAGGAACUGAGGGCCCAGCAAGCUCCUGGGGCUCUGCGGGGACUUUUCCUGCUCUGGGGGCAGGCGGCCUGGGGGAAGUCCUUGAUCUUGAACCCAGACAGUUGGAGUCUGCAGGUGGCCCUGCUUUCAAAGUGAACUCCCCGUGAUUCUGGCCUUUCCAGCUGAGGAAGUCUGUGAGUCCAGGAGGCUUCCGGAAGGCUGCUCAGCACCUGUUCAACAAAGGCGCCAGCCCCCAGGAGCAGAGGGAAAUGGGCAAGUGCCCGGGGCUCUCGACCGGGCGGGAUCAGUCAAGCAUGGCAUCGAUAGUGGAACAAAGGUACAAACCAGAUUUAUGUGUUUUAAACAGGGAGGACUCUCAAAAUGUGCUGUGGAGUAAAAAAGUGCAAGUUGCCAAACCACGUGUGGUGCAGGAUGCCAACUAUGUGAAAACAUUUCCACAGAAACAAUACAAUCCGUUUUGUGUAGGUGUACAUAUAAAUAAAGGAAUGGAAAUGUCUACAUUCUUAAAAGUUCUGGAGCAUAUGUAUCAAACCCUAAAGAGUAGUUACCCCUGGGGAGUGGAGAGGGAGACAGGGAGUGAAGGUGACAGGGAAAGAAACUUGAGAUUUAUCAGUAAUAUUUUAAUUUUUUAAAGAAAGUUCACUUAUGUAUGUAAUUAAACUUAUUUUUAAAACUCUAACCGUUGGUGUAAAGGCAAAGCAUAGGGUUAGAGUUUGAGGAGAACGAAGCCCUGCUCCAGUCCUCGAUACUCCAUGCCCGUAGGGCCGUUCUUUAACUGCCUGCCUUUGGUUAUUGCCUGGGUGAAAUGGGCAUAAAAACAUAGUGACUCCAGAGGGCUUCCCAAAGAACUAAGUGGCCUGGUCGACGGAGAUAUACAUAUGCUAGUUAUAAGUAGCAUUUUGUGUUUAAAAACAAUUUAGAGUCUCUAUAAAGACAGACUCAAAAUAAAAUCCAAUGUCUCUCCCCAAGGACAGAAAAAAGAGAGUGGCCACGAAGGAGCCGCCUUGAGUCUACUGAGAGCAGGUCAUGUCAGACUAACGUUACUUCCUCUGUUCACAGGAGGAGGGAAGGGCAAGAAGCAAACACUUAUGAUGGCUUUCCAGUGACUCCAGCUCUGUGCUGGGUGUCCUCAGAGUUCCCACCACCCCGAGAGGUUUCUCGGGGCAACCUGAACCAGGUUUGGUGAGGUGUAAUCUAGUUACGGCGAACUCCUACUGGAUCAAGGUGAGCCCUAAAUCCAGUGACUGGCGUCCUUAUAAGAAGAGGGAAAUUUGGGCACAGAGACUCAAUGAAGACACACACACACAGAGAAGAAGGCCAUGAGAAGAUGGAGGCAGACGUGGAGUGAUGCAGCUACAAGCCAAGGAUGCCAAGGAUUGCCGGCCACCAACAACAGUUAGGGAGACGCCAGGAAGGAUUCUUCCCUAGAGUCUUUGGAGGGAGCGUGGCCCAGCCGAUACCUUGACUUAGGACUUCUGGCCUCCAGAACUGGGAGAGAAUGAAUUUUUGUUGUUUCAAGCCACCCAUGUGUGGCAACAUGUUCUGGCGGCCCUAGGAAACUAACACAGCCCGGUUGCUCCACGGCUGAUUGGGCAAUCCCGGCAUGACCUGUGGGCUUGCGCAGUGGGACAGAGGGCUUCGUCCUUGACCCUAAUUUAUUUUAUUAUCCUCUUGGAUAAAAAUAAAGAGAGUGUCUGCCAAUCAAAUACGUGGAUUAUUCAAAACCUGGAGAGAUGGUGAGUACUGAAGACAGGCUCUAUAUUCAAAAACAUCUCAAUGAACUGCAAUAAUGGGUCACAUUUUAUAAACUGAAACUUAACUAGGACAAAGUUUUUAAUUUAGGUUCAAAGAACUAACUGCAUGAAUGUGGAAUGGGGAACCUCUGGCUUAAUGACAGCUCAUAUAAUAAAAGGUGUUGGCCACAGCUGAGUACGAGCCAACAAUGCAUUGCAGUCAUUAAAAAAAGCUAGUGCACAUUUAAGGUGCUCCACUGACAAGGAGAAAUGAGACCAGCACCCCGUAGGUCGCUGAGCUGGUCAGGCCACAUCUGGAGCUUCAAUCAGCUCUGAGUACCUCAUUUUAGAGUUUUGACACUACUCAGCAUCCAGGGAAAGAGAGCCAGGAAAGUGAGGGGUCCAGAAACUGUCAUGCAAAGAAAAUCGGGGUGGGUCGGGGGCGGCCCUGAGGAGUAGUGGUUAAGUUUGCACACUCUGCUUCAGCAGCCCAGGGUUCACAGGUUCAGAUCCCAGGCAUGGACCUACACAUCACUCAUCAAGCUAUGUUGUGGCAGUGUCCCACAUAAAAAAUCGAGGAAGAUUGGCACAGAUGUUAGCUCAGGGCCAAUCUUUCUCACAAAAAAGAAAGAAAGAAAAUCAGGGGAUCUAGGCUUAUUUCCCCUGGAGAUGAGAAGACAUGGGAACCUGGGACAUGUCUUUAAAUGCUGAAUGGCUCUCAUGAAGGAGAGGAAAUAGGCCAAUUGUAUAGUGUUCCAGAAGAUUCCUAACCAGUGGCUCCUGCACUGAUGAUGGCAAGCAGCAGUCUCAUUCUUCAGCAGAGGGGACACUGUUGAUUUUGCAGCAUUAAUUCUCUCUUUUUCUGAUAACAGCACCCAGAUUUCCUUUGUGAGACCACUCCACCCCCACUUUGUCCAUGGUUCCAGGGGUGGGCAAAUGACUCAGACUUAGCCCCUCAGAGAGCUCUAUCCCUUUGCCCACACCAACCUGUUCAGGGAUGGGCACACGGCCCAAGCCAGAUCAAUGAGUGACUAUCCCGGGCAUUUUGUCAUAAUUACCAGGCAGAGACUGUCUCCUUUCAUUAGGAUCACAAAGCUGGUAGGAUAGAAACCUGGAGGUGCUGGAGGCCAGCUUGCCAACAAGUGAGAUGAACCUGCUUGAGAAUGAAGUCAACACAGGAAAUAGAGCCAAGAAAUGGAGGCAGAAAGAUCUCUACUGGCACCUUGUGAACACCUGGAUCCAGCCAUGACUGAAGCUUGUUUGUGACAUGACACAGUACAAUCUCCUUUUAUGCUUUUACUAGUUUGAGAGAGCUGCUCCAGCAGAUCUAAAGAUGACCGAGUCAGUCCCCAAGGAGCUCCAAGGCCAAUGGAGAAGAGGUGGACUGGUUAUCUGUUGCCAUGUAACAAAUUACCCCAAAAGUUAGAGGCUGAAAACAACAAACAUUUGUUAUCUCACGGCUUCUACAGGUCAGGAAUCUGGGUGCAUUUAUCCAGGGGCCUCUAACUCAGAGUGUCCCAUGACAAAACCAACCAAGUGGUGACUGGGCCGGCAGUCACCUCAGAGGCUUGACUGGGGAGCAUUUGCUUGCCAGUCACUCAUGUGGCAGCUGACUUAUCUCAAGUCCUUGCUGACUGUUGGCUAGAGACAUCUGGUCCCUGCCACAUGAGCCCCUCCAAAGAACUACUCCAAAAUGGUGGUUUGCUUCCUUCAGAGUGAGGGGGAGAGAGAGGGAGGAACUGAAUCAGAAGCCACAGUCUUUUUGUAACCAAUCUUAGAAGUGACAUCCCUUAACUUCUACCAUAUUCUUGUCAUUAGAAGGGAGUCAAUGAGCCCAACUCACCCUCAAGGGGAGGGCAUUAGGCAGGAGAAAUACCAAGAGAUAGGGAUCAUUGAGAACCAUCCUAUUAGAGGUUGCCUAGCCCAACAGGCGAAUGGGAUUAGCAAAUGGAGAGCGCCAAGAGAGGAAAGUGCCGGCUGUUGCA
rnacentral:lncRNA from 1 species